UUGACCUCAAAUCAGGUAGGACUACCCGCUGAACUUAAGCAUAUCAAUAAGCGGAGGAAAAGAAACUAACAAGGAUUCCCCUAGUAACUGCGAGUGAAGCGGGAAAAGCUCAAAUUUAAAAUCUGGCGGUCUUGCGGCCGUCCGAGUUGUAAUCUGGAGAAGCGUUUAUCCGCGUCGGACCGUGUACAAGUCUUCUGGAAGGGAGCGUCGUAGAGGGUGAGAAUCCCGUCUUUGACACGGACAACCGGUG
rnacentral:rRNA from 1 species